UGGAAACGAGAAUAAAACGUGAAGGAUAACGUUGCGUCAGCAACGGCCCGUAGGGCGAGGCGAAGCCGAGUCAUCCUGCACGACCCACCA
rnacentral:sRNA from 2 species